UACGUAGGGGGCAAGCGUUGUCCGGAUUUACUGGGCGUAAAGCGCGCGUAGGCGGAAGGUGAAGCGUGGCCUGAAAGCCCCCGGCUCAACCGGGGAGGGCGGCUGCGAACUGGCCUUCUUGAGGGCGAUAGAGGGGGGCGGAAUUCCUGGUGUAGCGGUGAAAUGCGUAGAUAUCGGGAGGAACACCAGUGGCGAAGGCGGCUUCCUGGCCUGUUCUUGACGCUGAGGCGCGAAAGCUAGGGGAGCAAACGGG
rnacentral:rRNA from 1 species